CACAUGCAAGUCGAGGGGCAGCAUUAUCGAAGCUUGCUCUGAUAGAUGGCGACCGGCGCACGGGUGAGUAACGCGUAUCCAACCUUCCCCAUAGUCAGGAAUAGCCCGGCGAAAAGUCGAAUUAAUGCCUGAUGUUUUCCACGGACGGCAUCCGAUGUGGAACAAAGAUUGAUCGCUAUGGGAUGGGGAUGCGUCUGAUUAGCUUGUUGGCGGGGUAACGGCCCACCAAGGCAACGAUCAGUAGGGGUUCUGAGAGGAAGGUCCCCCACAUUGGAACUGAGACACGGUCCAAACUCCUACGGGAGGCAGCAGUGAGGAAUAUUGGUCAAUGGGCGGAAGCCUGAACCAGCCAAGUAGCGUGAGGGAUGACUGCCCUAUGGGUUGUAAACCUCUUUAUAAGGGAAUAAAAUACGGGACGUGUCCUGUUUUGCAUGUACCUUAUGAAUAAGGACCGGCUAAUUCCGUG
rnacentral:rRNA from 1 species